GGAAGGGUGGCUCAGGAGAAAGUGUGUGUGUGGCUACAGCAUGAGACUCUUAAUCUCAAGAACAAGAGUUCGAGCCCAUGGCUGCACUUCA